UACGAACUGUGCAAACGUUAUUCGGAAUCACUGGGCUUAAAGGGUGCGUAGGCGGCCAUUUAAGUAGGGUGUGAAAGCCCCCGGCUCAACCGGGGAAUGGCGUCCUAAACUGGAUGGCUGGAGUGAGAUAGAGGUGUGUGGAACUUCCGGUGGAGCGGUGAAAUGUGUUGAUAUCGGAAGGAACGCCGGUGGCGAAAGCGACACACUGGGUCUCAACUGACGCUGAGGCACGAAAGCCAGGGGAGCGAACGGG
rnacentral:rRNA from 1 species